rnacentral:rRNA from 1 species
UACAGAGGGUGCGAGCGUUAAUCGGAAUUACUGGGCGUAAAGCGCACGUAGGCGGCUUGGUAUGUCGGGUGUGAAAUCCCCGGGCUCAACCUGGGAACUGCAUCCGAAACUGCCUUGCUAGAGUAUGGGAGAGGGAAGUGGAAUUCCGGGUGUAGCGGUGGAAUGCGUAGAGAUCCGGAAGAACACCAGUGGCGAAGGCGGCCUGCUGGGCAGUUGCUGACGCUGAGGCGCGACAGCGUGGGGAGCAAACAGG